rnacentral:rRNA from 1 species
UACAGGGGGCUCGAGCGUUAGUCGGAAUCACUGGGCUUAAAGGGUGCGUAGGCGGUCCGCCAAGUGCUUUGUGAAAUCCCCGAGCUCAACUCGGGAACUGCAGGGCAAACUGGAGGACUUGAAGCAGGUAGGGGCUGGAAGAACAGUAGGUGGAGCGGUGAAAUGCGUAGAUAUCUACUGGAAUGCCGAUGGGGAAGCCGUCCAGCUGGGCCUGUCUUGACGCUGAGGCACGAAAGUGUGGGGAUCAAACAGG